CCCUUAGAUGUUCUGGGCCGCACGCGCGCUACACUGAUGCAUUCAACGAGUCCAACCUUGACCGAGAGGUCCGGGCAAUCUUUGAAACUGCAUCGUGAUGGGGCUAGAUUAUUGCAAUUAUUAAUCUUCAACGAGGAAUGCCUAGUAAGCGUGAUUCAUCAAAUCGCGUUGAUUACGUCCCUGCCCUUUGUACACACCGCCCGUCGCUCCUACCGAUUGAGUGUGUUGGUGAGGAGUUUGGAUUGGCCUCGGAAGGUGGUUCGCCACCGUCCGUAGCUGAGAAGUUCUCCAAACCGCCCCACUUAGAGGAAGGAGAAGUCGUAACA
rnacentral:rRNA from 1 species